AGAUCAUCACAUAGUGUUUCCUGAAUAAGAUUGCAUUUUUUUUUGUAAGAGUUUCAUCGAUUACUAUAGAGUAUGUACAGGCAAAUUUAUCCAUUCUAACAAAAUUCAAAUUCCGAGCUGCUUAUUAGUUUCCUUCCUAUAUAGUUUGAGGAUAUGAAAUUUUGAACCACAGCCCCGAUUUGUAACGGCAAGGUGCAAGUGAGCCUGCUUUGUCGACCGUUGAGAGUUACUUAACCAUCCAAUCACUGCAAAGUUUUGGAGUCCCAAGUAUGAAAUUUGCUUAGAUAAGAAUCCAUCAAUAAUUGUAGAUCGAAAUAGGGACCUUACCAUAUUUUCGCAUACCCUUUCCACAUUCUAUGUAAAGGCAUGGAGUCCCCCUGGGAAAAACUAUAAAUACCAAAAGGUGAAAUCGGAACCUUGCAACAAUUUUCCCUUCAACACCGCCACUACAAAUAAAAACCUCAUAGCCUUUGAAACGAGGCUCUCCGUCGUUCCUCUCCUCUUCCCUGCUUCUCCUUCGUCUUCUUCUCCUCGAAUCCAUGGCGAAUGCUGCUCUCCCUAGAUCUAAUGAUCCAGACGCUACCAACUACGCCACCUCUUCUUGGGAUCAGGUAACUGAUAUCAAACCCUAACCCCCUCGAAACCUCGGUCUUCCGAGGUUCUAUCAGUGGAUCGAGGAGGAUUUGUUGGACCCCGCGCAUAGUGUUCUCUUUUGAUGCCAUGCCACAGGACUUUCGUUGAACAGGUUUCUCGAUGGGAUGCUCAUCAAUGCUAGCACAGGGCUCAAAUUCGACGACAAUGUCAAGAAGCGAGGGGAGAAAUGAGGAAAUACUUGCACCUCAAUGGAAUGUUAUCGUUCUUCGCAUACCCAGGGCUGAUUACUGAUUUAUAUCAACAUCUGGUUCAUAGUCAUGUUACAAAUCAUGUGGCAGUUUGCUAAUCUUAGCCAAAGUCUCCACUAAUUCUAGUCUGUUGUACAAGUACCAUUACAAAAGCCUGUAGCCUAGUCUAAAUACAUAGAUCUAUUGAACAAGUUUAAUAUACAGACUUUCUCAAAGGUACUGCAAUUCAUGUUCAAGAUGAAAUCCAAGGCUGAAUAUGGGAUCGGCUUGUAUUUUUUUUGGAUCACAAGAGUCAUGAUGUAAGCGAAAGAAGAGUUCCCUUCGAGUAAUUUCGAAGUUCCUAAAGUUACUUUUUUUCCUCUCCAGUGAUUAUCAGAUCCUGACUUACCCAAUGUGAAGGGGUGAUGUAAGGAAGAGCUGGUUGAUCAUGUCCAGCCAUUGGAUUGAGAACAACAUUAUGUAAUAAGGAGACCUGCAGAGAUAAAUACAAGUGCACUGCUUAAGUAUGAUCA